GACGAACGCUGGCGGCGUGCCUAAUACAUGCAAGUUGAGCGCUGAAGGUUGGUACUUGUACCAACUGGAUGAGCAGCGAACGGGUGAGUAACGCGUGGGGAAUCUGCCUUUGAGCGGGGGACAACAUUUGGAAACGAAUGCUAAUACCGCAUAAAAACUUUAAACACAAGUUUUAAGUUUGAAAGAUGCAAUUGCAUCACUCAAAGAUGAUCCCGCGUUGUAUUAGCUAGUUGGUGAGGUAAAGGCUCACCAAGACGAUGAUACAUAGCCGACCUGAGAGGGUGAGCGGCCACAUUGGGACUGAGACACGGCCCAAACUCCUACGGGAGGCAGCAGUAGGGAAUCUUCGGCAAUGGCCGAAAGUCUGACCGAGCAACGCCGCGUGAGUGAAGAAGGUUUUCGUAUCGUAAAACUCUGUUGGUAGAGAAGAACGUUGGUGAGAGUGGAAAGCUCAUCAAGUGACGGUAACUACCCAGAAAGGGACGGCUAACUACGUG
rnacentral:rRNA from 1 species